rnacentral:rRNA from 1 species
GAUGAACGCUGGCGGCGUGCUUAACGCAUGCAAGUCGAGCGAAGCACUUAAGUGGAUCUCUUCGGAUUGAAACUUAUUUGACUGAGCGGCGGACGGGUGAGUAACGCGUGGGUAACCUGCCUCAUACAGGGGGAUAACAGUUAGAAAUGGCUGCUAAUACCGCAUAAGCGCACAGGACCGCAUGGUCUGGUGUGAAAAACUCCGGUGGUAUGAGAUGGACCCGCGUCUGAUUAGCUAGUUGGAGGGGUAACGGCCCACCAAGGCGACGAUCAGUAGCCGGCCUGAGAGGGUGAACGGCCACAUUGGGACUGAGACACGGCCCAGACUCCUACGGGAGGCAGCAGUGGGGAAUAUUGCACAAUGGGGGAAACCCUGAUGCAGCGACGCCGCGUGAAGGAAGAAGUAUCUCGGUAUGUAAACUUCUAUCAGCAGGGAAGAAAAUGACGGUACCUGACUAAGAAGCCCCGGC